UAGCUAUUCAGUCGCUCGCCAAUUCUGGCAA
rnacentral:sRNA from 1 species